UACGUAGGGUGCGAGCGUUGUCCGGAAUUAUUGGGCGUAAAGGGCUCGUAGGCGGUUUGUCGCGUCGGGAGUGAAAUCCACUGGCUUAACUGGUGGCUUGCUUUCGAUACGGGCAGACUGGAGGUAUGCAGGGGAGAACGGAAUUCCUGGUGUAGCGGUGAAAUGCGCAGAUAUCAGGAGGAACACCGGUGGCGAAGGCGGUUCUCUGGGCAUGUCCUGACGCUGAGGAGCGAAAGUGUGGGGAGUGAACAGG
rnacentral:rRNA from 1 species